AUUGAAACUUUUUUAGACUGUCCACAGGACUUUACAGUGGGAUAAGUUCUGUUAAGCUUUGUUAAUUCAUUGUGACACUUACUCAUUGCCGAUAUCAUCAGCACAAUUGCCAGGCAGAUCUCCCACUGGGGAGAAGUCUCUUCCUUCCUAAUAUAGCUGCUGCAGGGGUAGAAGAUCUGGCCGACCAGUUUACAUCUACAUACGAGACAUGCAGAGAAACAGUUGCAAAAUGUCUAUCUUCCCUCAACAAGUGAGAAGAGGAGCUCUAAGCAUUAAAGAGUUUUGCAGGAGGAAGAACUCUUGGUGAUCCAAAAUUGCUGGAUAAAGCCCUUUGGACUCUCUUCUAACUCACAAACUCAUGAGAAAGAUCCAAUCUGUACCCUACCUGCCUGCGUGCUGGCUCUUUUCCUGUGGCCUCAAGAGGUUUUGCAGAUACUGAGGCUGCAAUCAGUCACUUACAAAGAAAGCACAGUCUCAGGCAUGAGCCAGAUUCCCAGAGAAGGCAACAUCCUUCAAGGCCUGUAUUAUCACAGGAAGCAACCAUCAACAUUGUCCAGAGAUUUCGAUAAAAAGCCCAUGCUUCUGCACAAAGAUUGUCUCAUGAAUCAGAGGAUCAUGUCCUUUGCAUGUAUGAUAUGGUUCUUAGAACAGUUAUAUAGAUGGGGGUUUCCACUGAGAGAGUAUACGAAGAUGAAAGAGGAAGAAUUGCUAUGGGAAGAGGUUUUAUUAAAAAUACAGCUGAAGGUUUUUUCAUCAUAUCUUUGAGUAAACAUUAGUGGGAUAGUGACAGAAGAUGUGUCACUGGAUUUAUUUACUGUAAGACAGUUCUGCCGAGUAAAGUACCAUAUGAAAGCAGCAUGUGUUUUUUUAAUAUAAUGUAAAGAGUAACUUAUUACAGUGACUUUAUUUUCUUCUUGUUUGAUGGAUUGUUGCCAUUUAUUACCACCGAGUAAUGAAACCUAUACUGUGUUUUACACGACAGUAGAAUGUCUUGGGCAGCAUUAAUCAGCCUCACGAAGUGUUCAAGAGAAAUAAUGAAAGAAAGAACUGGCAUGCAAGGCAAGUGCCUUCCAGUUUGUCUCCUGCAACCUUCCUUCCUCUGAAACAUUCAUCAUCUUCCUCUUAGUUUGCCAGGAUCUAAAAUCAGGCAGAUAUUUUCUUAUUAAUAUUGAGGCAGGGCACUGAGAGCUGCCAUCACAUCUUUCUUUAGCUGAGAGAAAAUUACCUCAGCUUAAGCUCAACUACCUCCUGCUAUUUGUAAGUCUAGGGCUUCACAAGCUGCGUUACUUGGCUUGUAUGCUAUGUGCACCUUGAUGAUUCUCCAUGUUUUAUCAUAACUGAUUGUAUACAUAUUCUUAAAGCACGAGAGAGUCUGCAGGCUGGGAUAGAAUCUCAGUCCCAAAUGGAUCAGAAUCUAGGAGGUAAGAGGUGUGCUAUUGUAUCUAAAGGGAUAAGAGACAGCCAAGAAAUACAAGAUACAAAAACAAGGCUACCAAGGAGCUGAGUUCAUGGAGCAAUGAAUGUAUUUACUGAGGACUUCACAUCCUUUUGGAUAGAAUAUCCGGGGACUGGUUGUCAGCAUACAAGAUGAAUCAAAAUGUGAAUCCUUUCAAGAGUUUGCAUAGAAACCAUGGAAUCUAAUGAGUCAGAAAUAGAGAUGCUCAAGGCACUCGAUUUUGUACUGUCAGAUCUUUUCUUUCUCAGAACUCUCAAGAGUUUUUGUUAUCUAUCAGUUCAACAUAAGGAACGUUUUUACUGCUAAGGAACAGGUAAAGCAAUUUGCUGGCAGAGGCUUUGCCUCUUGUUCUGUCCAGAUAAUGCCAGGGCAUAGAUCACUCUGAGCAAUUACAAUCAUCAGUAACAGAAUUUAGAAAUCACACUUUUGCUGUUAAACACUUGCCAUUACAUUAUAUGACUUCUACAAUGCAGAUCUUUCAUUUGGUACAACAUCAACAUCUUCCUCCUUAGCUAUGACUCCUGCCCUUUCCUCGUCAGUCUGGUUCACCAAAUUGCUAGUUGAUGAACAAAUACUCUGUGCAUGACAACAGAAGGUUAUGCCUUACUGUGUGUUCAUUACAGCCCUUAACCAGUAGCUGAAAGCGUAGUAAAAAAGAUAUCAAGAAAUUUUGUUUUCUGACGGACAUUUUUAUUUUGAUGGGGGGUG
ensembl:lncRNA